GACGAACGCUGGCGGCGUGCCUAAUACAUGCAAGUAGAACGCUGAAGAGAGGAGCUUACUCUUCUUGGAUGAGUUGCGAACGGGUGAGUAGCGCGUAGGUAACCUGCCUUGUAGCGGGGGAUAACUAUUGGAAACGAUAGCUAAUACCGCAUAACAAUGGAUGACACAUGUCAUUUAUUUGAAAGGGGCAAUUGCUCCACUACAAGAUGGACCUGCGUUGUAUUAGCUAGUAGGUGAGGUAAUGGCUCACCUAGGCGACGAUACAUAGCCGACCUGAGAGGGUGAUCGGCCACACUGGGACUGCGACACGGCCCAGACUCCUACGGGAGGCAGCAGUAGGGAAUCUUCGGCAAUGGGGGCAACCCUGACCGAGCAACGCCGCGUGAGUGAAGAAGGUUUUCGGAUCGUAAAGCUCUGUUGUAAGUCAAGAACGGGUGUGAGAGUGGAAAGUUCACACUGUGACGGUAGCUUACCAGAAAGGGACGGCUAACUACGUG
rnacentral:rRNA from 1 species